GGAAAAUUGGCCUUGGCAUUUUGACCAAUCAUUAGAAUGGCAGCUUGAUUAUAUGCGCUUGCUGCAGCUCCAGCAGUCCCAAAGGUGCCUAGCCAUACCCUUCUCUUCCUGGAAAAGCAUAAACUGUAUCGGUCAUUGUUAAUGUAAAGAAUACUGCCUGGUGUAUGACGAAGAUGAACCAAAGCUAGGCCAUUGUUACGGUCAAGGUAUACACAAGGAAGAAAAAGAGGAGAACAAAAUGGAUGACACAUGUUAGCAGAGAACAAGGGACAGAUGAUAGACAUCAAGCUAAAGGGAAGUCAACAGGCCAACUUAUGCACAGUAAAGAAGUUGCAACAACAACAUUAAUUCAUCAGAGUAUGGGAACCAUAAGCACCUGCAGGAAGGAUGAAGUGGCAGCAUUGGAUUGGCAAAGAAACUCUGUAAGAGAAAAGAAUGAAAGAGACUUGGCAGAAGAAAAGAGGAAUAUGGACCUGGAGGUGGAGAAGAGGGGAAAAAGAGAAAAAAAUUGGAAGAAGGGAGAAAGUAGGAGAGUGGCUAGCCUCUCGAAUAGCUGGUGUUAUUGUGUUCUAUGUUGAAUGUUUAAUUUGGUUGUGUUUAUGUGGGUGUUUAAGUUCUGCUUUCCAGUAGUUUAGUGUUAUCAGAUGCUUUUGUCAAUGUAAUGCUAGCAAAGCUUCAGUAAAUUGUUUGUAUCACAUUCAGUAAAAGGUUUAAUACAAGAAGCAGUUCCUUCUA